GAUGAACGCUGGCGGCGUGCCUAAUACAUGCAAGUAGAACGCUGAAGGAGGAGCUUGCUCUUCUGGAUGAGUUGCGAACGGGUGAGUAACGCGUAGGUAACCUGCCUGGUAGCGGGGGAUAACUAUUGGAAACGAUAGCUAAUACCGCAUGACAACAGUUAUUGCAUGAUAACUGUUUAAAAGGGGCAACUGCUCCACUACCAGAUGGACCUGCGUUGUAUUAGCUAGUUGGUGAGGUAACGGCUCACCAAGGCGACGAUACAUAGCCGACCUGAGAGGGUGAUCGGCCACACUGGGACUGAGACACGGCCCAGACUCCUACGGGAGGCAGCAGUAGGGAAUCUUCGGCAAUGGACGGAAGUCUGACCGAGCAACGCCGCGUGAGUGAAGAAGGUUUUCGGAUCGUAAAGCUCUGUUGUAAGAGAAGAACGAGUGUGAGGGUGGAAAGUUCACACUGUGACGGUAGCUUACCAGAAAGGGACGGCUAACUACGUG
rnacentral:rRNA from 1 species